CGGAUCACUACAAGAAAACCUAGCUUAAGCGACCAAAAUCCUAGCAAGAACCCAGUUGGCUUGCAACUGCAAGUCAGUUGGCUUGCUAUAAAUUUAUGGCCAUUAAAUUUAAGCCACUACCGGAUAUCUUUGCUCCACCACCUGAUAUGUUUGCUCGCUCGAUCUCUUUUGCAAGCCGGGCAUGGGUCGAGGAGGAGGCUCUGGUUUAUCAAAUCGUGGAGGUAGUACAAGGAACAACCGUGGUGGUGGUGGUGCUCAAC